UCGGGGGUGCUUUGCACGGCAUCGACAAGAUCGGUGCGUGGCAAGGCUGAGAUGGCUUAUGCCGAACCCUUUUAACCUGAUACGGACAAUACCGACGUAGGGAGCUUUUAAACA
rnacentral:ncRNA from 1 species